AGUGGGGAAUAUUGGACAAUGGGCGAAAGCCUGAUCCAGCAAUGCCGCGUGAGUGAUGAAGGCCUUAGGGUUGUAAAGCUCUUUUACCCGGGAUGAUAAUGACAGUACCGGGAGAAUAAGCUCCGGCUAACUCCGUGCCAGCAGCCGCGGUAAUACGGAGGGAGCUAGCGUUAUUCGGAAUUACUGGGCGUAAAGCGCACGUAGGCGGCUUUGUAAGUCAGAGGUGAAAGCCUGGAGCUCAACUCCAGAACUGCCUUUGAGACUGCAUCGCUUGAAUCCAGGAGAGGUGAGUGGAAUUCCGAGUGUAGAGGUGAAAUUCGUAGAUAUUCGGAAGAACACCAGUGGCGAAGGCGGCUCACUGGACUGGUAUUGACGCUGAGGUGCGAAAGCGUGGGGAGCAAA
rnacentral:rRNA from 1 species